CUUUUUCCUCCUUACUUCUUAUUUUCUCUUUUCCUUCACCCCAGCUAUCCUCCCCCACUUUAUAUGUAGAGUUUGCAUAUGAUUUAUUUUUGUUAAUUACAUACUUGUUUAGUCCCACCAACUAGAUUAGAUGCUUAUAGAUAACAGGAUUCUGACUUCUAUAUCUUUAAAUAUCUAGUAUAGUUUUAUAUAAAAAGUUAUUUAUAAUCAUAUAGGCCAAUAGUUGACAAUGGGUUAAAAGCUAACAUGUUUUCUUUUAUUUUAGAGUUAAAAACUCACCACUUAAACAGUCUCCAGGUUAUCAGACAGAACUAGUUAUUCAGUUGGUUUGGGUGGGUGGAGAACCACCACAACAAAUAACCAGCCUGGCAGUCAAUUCUUCCUAUGGAUUGGUGGUUUUUGGCAAUUGCAAUGGCAUUGCUAUGGUUGACUACCUCCAGAAAGCAGUGCUGCUCAACCUGGGCACUAUUGAAUUGUAUGGCUCUAAUGAUCCUUAUCGGAGAGAACCCCGAUCUCCUCGUAAAUCUCGACAACCUUCAGGAGCUGGUCUGUGUGAUAUUAGUGAAGGGACUGUUGUUCCAGAGGACCGCUGCAAAUCUCCAACUUCUGGUUCUUCAUCACCACACAAUUCAGAUGAUGAACAAAAAAUGAAUAAUUUUAUAGAAAAGGUGAAGACCAAAAGCAGAAAGCUUUCCAAGAUGGUAGCCAGUGAUAUAGCAAAGAUGUCAAGGAAGUUAAGUUUACCUACUGACCUAAAGCCUGAUUUAGAUGUAAAGGAUAACUCCUUCAGCAGAUCGCGGAGUUCAAGUGUAACAAGCAUUGACAAAGAAUCCCGAGAAGCAAUCUCUGCUCUUCAUUUCUGUGAAACGUUUACUCGAAAGACAGACUCGUCCCCUUCCCCUUGUCUGUGGGUUGGAACAACGCUAGGAACAGUGCUUGUCAUUGCACUGAACCUUCCCCCAGGGGGAGAACAAAGACUUCUUCAGCCCGUAAUAGUGUCUCCAAGUGGUACUAUAUUGAGGUUAAAAGGUGCAAUCUUGAGAAUGGCAUUUCUGGAUACCACAGGCUGCUUAAUACCACCUGCGUAUGAACCCUGGAAAGAACACAAUGUUCUGGAAGAAAAAGAUGAAAAGGAGAAACUGAAAAAACGGCGGCCUGUAUCAGUAUCCCCCUCCUCUUCUCAGGAAAUUAGUGAAAACCAGUAUGCAGUGAUAUGUUCUGAAAAGCAAGCAAAAGUAAUCUCACUGCCAACCCAGAACUGUGCUUAUAAGCAAAAUAUUACAGAGACCUCAUUUGUGCUUCGUGGAGAUAUUGUAGCAUUGAGUAACAGUAUCUGCCUUGCCUGUUUCUGUGCCAAUGGACAUAUAAUGACUUUUAGUUUGCCAAGUUUAAGACCUCUAUUGGAUGUGUAUUACUUGCCCCUUACCAAUAUGCGGAUAGCCAGAACGUUCUGCUUUACCAACAAUGGACAAGCAUUAUACCUUGUUUCACCUACAGAAAUCCAGAGACUUACUUAUAGUCAAGAGACCUGUGAAAAUCUUCAGGAAAUGUUGGGUGAACUCUUCACUCCUGUAGAAACACCUGAAGCACCAAACAGGGGAUUCUUUAAAGGCUUAUUUGGAGGUGGUGCACAAUCUCUUGACAGAGAAGAACUAUUUGGAGAAUCAUCCUCAGGAAAGGCUUCAAGGAGCCUUGCACAGCAUAUUCCUGGCCCUGGUGGCAUUGAAGGUGUGAAAGGGGCAGCAUCUGGAGUUGUCGGUGAAUUAGCACGAGCUAGGCUGGCACUAGAUGAAAGAGGGCAGAAACUUGGUGAUCUGGAAGAAAGAACUGCGGCCAUGUUAUCAAGUGCAGAUGCAUUUUCCAAACAUGCUCAUGAGAUGAUGUUAAAAUACAAAGAUAAGAAGUGGUACCAGUUCUGACAACCAGAAUCCAAUAAGUCCAACUUCAGCCGGAAGGAAAAAUGUUAUCCAUUUUUAUUACAUUAUUUAGAAAAGUUAACAUUAAAGGGAUGUUCGUCACUGGAUACUGUUCUUUCCUAGCACAAUCAUGCACUGUUUUACCUCUGUCAUAUGGCUUUAACUGAGGAGUGUUCACACGGACUCGAAAUGGAGUAUAUGGUGUGUGCCAGUUAUGAAUUGACACUUUGGGAACUAAACAGGUCACAAGUGACAGAUGAAGAAACCAAGGGGGAUGCUGAGGAGACAUGAUGCAGGGACUAAUCCUGGAUCAUUCCUGUAUUAAACUUUCAUAUGCCAAAAGGUUUUAUGCCGUUUUAUCUGCCAUCAGUGUUUGACCUGUUUGGGGUGGAGGCAAUAAGUCAGAAGUCUUGAAGCUGAAAUAGUUAUAUAUAUAUAUAUAUAUAUAUGUCAUUGGACUGGAUUAUAAACAGCUGUCUUGGACUUUCCCUCUCUUAAAGCUGACUGGUCAUCAGUAUCAUUAGUGAAAAAGAAACAAACUGUUUGUUAUCAUAUCUUUAGACAGAUAAGCUGAAUGGUGGGCUUUAAAUAAAAAAACAUACACAUAGUUGACUUGUGUAUGAGCUACUCUUGGAUUCUUGUUAUUAUAGACUUGUAUUUAGUUCAUAUUUUGUCAAAAGCAAAACAAGAAGAUACAUCACUUUUCAUUGAAAAGAAAAGUGUAGAGCAUGACUGAAUUGCUCAUCAUUCUGGGAGUUUCCAUGUAGUGGCUAUGCAGUGUGGAAAGUGAGAAAAACCUCCAUUGUGGUUAUAGGGGUGCUGGGGAGACCGCUGAGGAAAGGAAGAAUAUGUGGAAGACGCCACGGAGUUCAAAGUUUUACCCUGGAUUCUAUAUUCCAUAUAUGUUUUGCUUAAGGCAUUUCUCAUGUGACAUUAGAAAAGCUAUAUCCAAAGGGUAUUUGUUCUCUUGGAUUGAAAUUUAUGCCCACAGAUUUUUCUUUUCAUUUGAAAAUGAAUGUGAAGAUACUGUUUACAGCUUUUGUUUAUUGCACUUUUCAUCACUCUGAUCAAUUUCUUGUAAAGUGCUAUGGAGUUUAUUUUUCCUGUGAAUAUUAAUGAUUUUACUACGGCCUCAGAAAUUUAAAAAAGGUCUAUAGACAGAAAACAGUUGUUGCAACCAAAACAACCAAAACAACCAAAAAAAAAAAAAAAAAAAAAAAAAANCCGUGGGUGGAAACUGGCUUACCUUCCUCAGCUGAAUUAAAUGAUUUUAAUAACUUCCCAAUUGCCAGGGUUAUAACAUUGCUUUCUUUAGUUACUAAUACAGUAAAAUUAAUUUUUAAAAUAUAGCAUUCAUUUACAAAUUGAGUACAGUAGUCCAGGGCUACAUGUAAGUGCUCUCUUUAUUCUUUACAUCAGAAAAAUCAUGAAUGUCAGUUUUGCCAGUAUUUUACAAUGAGGCUCAUGGUUUAAAAUUUUAUAGUUUAUGACAUGUAAAUAAACCAGUAUAAUUUAUUGUAGGUUGUUUGACUCAGGCAUUUUAAAUGGAUAUAGGUUAAUGGCAAUGGAAUUCUAUUUAUUUGGUAGUUUGUUUUUUUAUAUACUUUUGCUAUUUGUGUUGUCUACACUUUGCUUCAACUGAAGACAGUGUAUGGAGUUGAAAAUAAAAUCAAUAUAGCAAUGGAAAGCAAUGCAAAGAGGGUAAAUCAUGUUUUAAUUUUUUUAACUUUUUUUUUUUUUGUAAAUAAGUAGUACUAUGAUACUUUAGGUGUGACCUCUGUUCCACAUGAUAGAACCAGAAAAACACUUUGCUUUCUAGUUCUACUAUUGGUUCAUUGUAAAUGCACUACCAAAAGACAAUAUGAAAAAGAGCAAGAUUAAAUUUUCAUAACAUUGUCCACUUCAGGGGCAAGCAUGCUUGAUACAGAGCUCUAGCUUGUGUAUACCUUAAACUGUAACUUGCAGGUGUUUUUUGGUUGCUGCACUUUUUAUUUAAUCUUGCUCAGUCCCAGUAACUAUCUCCAAGGUAAUUGCUGGAAUAUGCAUUUUGAAAUACGGUUAAAAAUAUAUAUGUGUAUAGUUUCAUCUAAAAAGAAAAGCAGUAUUGCAAACACUAAAAACGUGUUCAACUUUGUAGUUAUUUUGCAUUCCUGUACUUUACAGACUGUCAUCACAGCAAAAAGUUUAAAAUUAGGUAAUGAAAUAUUUUUGUAAAUAAAUACCGUUAAGCUGGUAUUUUAAAAAUGUAUUAUAAAUUAAUGUUUCUGGAAAAUGUUCAUAUAAAUGUAUAUGAAUGUCUCUUUAUGCUGAAGGGCUCUGAUUGGGCAAAAUAAAAUACUCUAAUCUCUCCUGAAACUAAA